UACGGAGGGCGCGAGCGUUAAUCGGAAUUACUGGGCGUAAAGCGCGCGUAGGCUGUUGUGUAAGUUGGGGGUGAAAUCCCACGGCUCAACCGUGGAACAGCCCUUGAUACUGGGCGACUUGAAUCCGGGAGAGGGUGGCGGAAUUCCAGGUGUAGGAGUGAAAUCCGUAGAUAUCUGGAGGAACAUCAGUGGCGAAGGCGGCCACCUGGACCGGUAUUGACGCUGAGGCGCGAAAGCGUGGGGAGCAAACAGG
rnacentral:rRNA from 1 species